rnacentral:lncRNA from 1 species
CUGGAAUGUUCCUUUGGAAUGUUCCUUUGGAAUGUUCCUUUGGAAUGUUCACUUGGAAUGCCAUGGCUCUGCCAUCCUGGUGGUUCCUGUGUCCUGACAGCUGAAAUCAAGCAGUAGCCUGCUUUAUUGAAAAGUGAUUUAACAAUCAUCACUUACGGGCUGCCCAACCCUUUCAGUUUUUUGAAAUUUACAGUUCCUGCUUCUUUUUUCUCUUCUUUACUUCAAACUGGUUCUGUUGGCAUUUGUUGAGCCUGGAGUUCUGCACUAAGGUGUCCACAAGACACCUGGGGCAGUAACACUCCUCUCUUCACCUCUGCAGUUAAAAUCAGGGGUGCAGAUGUUGCUUCAGCCCUCCCAGAAAAUAGCAAAUCCUUGGAAACAGAUGUGUGCAGAAAGGGAACAGGCAAGGGAGCCCCUGGACAUCCCAGACAGCUUCACUGAGGAAUCCUUUUGGCACAGGACCUCCAGCAGCUUUGCCAUGUCCAUGGAACAGGGAGAAGAACUGGAACGUGUUUCAUUCACUGUUUAAAGGAAAAAGGACUUUUGUCUAGAGCUGCUUUUGUCUAAACAACUUCUGCUCAUCAGAUCCGUGGAUCUCAAUACAAUUGGCUUUAUAUUCUGAAAAAACUGUGAACAAACAAGCUGGGAGCUGCAUCUGCAUCUGCAAACAAACAUUUCACAGCUAUCCCACAGAGAAAAAUCAGUCUGAAUUGCAGAUCCUCCUGCUCUAUGGCCUUUGUCUCUCCCGAAUCCACACAGGAUUUUUGGCAGUGAAGUCAGAGCCUGGAAGUGUUGAAUGCACCAAACUUAGCUCCUACUCACCCCAAGUGAUAAUAUUAAAAUAAUAAGCCUGCCACAAACUUUAUGGCAGCAAAAUUCAGCGAGAAGAAAAGGCAGCUUUUAGAAAACAAAGCAACCCGUGGAAUUCAU